rnacentral:rRNA from 1 species
GACGAACGCUGGCGGUGUGCUUAACACAUGCAAGUCGAACGGUAAGGCCCUUUCGGGGGUACACGAGUGGCGAACGGGUGAGUAACACGUGAGUAACCUGCCCUCAUCUCUGGGAUAACAGUCGGAAACGGUUGCUAAUACUGGAUAUGAGCUUGCAAGGCAUCUUGUGGGUUGGAAAGAUUUUUUUGGUUGGGGAUGGACUCGCGGCCUAUCAGCUUGUUGGUGAGGUAGUGGCUCACCAAGGCUUCGACGGGUAGCCGGCCUGAGAGGGCGACCGACCACAUUGGGACUGAGAUACGGCCCAAACUCCUACGGGAGGCAGCGGUGGGGAAUAUUGCACAAUGGACGGAAGUCUGAUGCAGCAACGCCGCGUGCGGGAUGACGGCCUUCGGGUUGUAAACCGCUUUCAAUUGUGACGAAGCUUUUUGUGACGGUAGCAGUAGAAGAAGCACCGGCUAACUACGUG